UACGGAGGGGGCUAGCGUUGUCCGAAGUUACUGGGCGUAAAGCGCGCGUAGGCGGGUUGGUAAGUCCGCUGUGAAAGCCCGGAGCUUAACUCCGGAGGGUCGGUGGAUACUGCCAGUCUUGAAGGUGCUAGGGGGAGAUGGAAUUACCGGUGUAGAGGUGAAAUUCGUAGAUAUUCGCAAGAACACCAGUGGCGAAGGCGGCUCACUGGCCCGGAACUGACGCUGAGACGCGAAAGCGUGGGGAGCAAACAGG
rnacentral:rRNA from 1 species